rnacentral:snoRNA from 1 species
AGCUUACCAGUGAUGUCCAAAAAUAAAUGUCUGAACAAAUGACUGUCCAGUGAUAACCGGUUUGAACGGAGGUAAGCC